UACGUAGGGAGCAAGCGUUGUUCGGAUUUACUGGGCGUAAAGGGCGCGUAGGCGGCCUGUCAAGUCAAUUGUGAAAUCUCCGAGCUUAACUCGGAACGGCCAAUUGAUACUGUCAGGCUAGAGUGCAGAAAGGGCAAUCGGAAUUCUUGGUGUAGCGGUGAAAUGCGUAGAUAUCAAGAGGAACACCUGAGGCGAAGGCGGGUUGCUAGGCUGACACUGACGCUGAGGCGCGAAAGCCAGGGGAGCAAACGGG
rnacentral:rRNA from 2 species